rnacentral:tRNA from 1 species
GGGCCGUUAGCUCAGUUYGGCAGAGCACCGGACUUUUAAUCCGGGUGUCGUGGGUUCGACCCCCACACGGCCCACCA